rnacentral:rRNA from 1 species
UACGUAGGGUGCAAGCGUUUAUCCGGAAUUAUUGGGCGUAAAGAGCUCGUAGGCGGUUUGUCGCGUCUGCUGUGAAAACUGGAGGCUCAACCUCCAGCCUGCAGUGGGUACGGGCAAACUAGAGUGCGGUAGGGGAGAUUGGAAUUCCUGGUGUAGCGGUGGAAUGCGCAGAUAUCAGGAGGAACACCGAUGGCGAAGGCGGCAUCCUGGACCGGCAUUGACGCUGAGGAGCGAAAGCUAGGGGAGCAAACAGG